UGCCAGCAGCCGCGGUAAGACGGAGGGUGCAAACGUUACUCGGAAUCACUGGGCAUAAAGCGCACGUAGGCGGCCCGUUAAGUCGGAUGUGAAAGCCCUCGGCUCAACCGAGGAACUGCAUUCGAUACUGGCGGGCUCGAGGGUGGUUGGGGUGAGUGGAACUCCAGGUGGAGCGGUGAAAUGCGUAGAUAUCUGGAGGAACACCGGUGGCGAAAGCGGUACACUGGGUCUUAACUGACGCUGAGGCACGAAAGCCAGGGUAGCGAACGGGAUUAGAUA
rnacentral:rRNA from 1 species